UACGUAGGGUGCAAGCGUUGUCCGGAAUUAUUGGGCGUAAAGAGCUCGUAGGCGGUCUGUCGCGUCUGCUGUGAAAACCUCAGGGCUUAACCCUGAGCUUGCAGUGGGUACGGGCAGACUAGAGUGCGGUAGGGGAGACUGGAAUUCCUGGGUGUAGCGGUGGAAUGCGCAGAUAUCAGGAGGAACACCGAUGGCGAAGGCAGGUC
rnacentral:rRNA from 1 species